UCCUGUCAGUACACAGUAAAUACCUGAUUGAGGUCCUGUCAGUACACAGUAAAUACCUGAUUGAGGUCCUGUCAGUACACAGUAAAUACCUGAUUGAGGUCCUGUCAGUACACAGUAAAUACCUGAGUGAGGUCCUGUCAGUACACAGUAAAUACCUGAGUGAGGUCCUGUCAGUAUGAGGUCCUGUCAGUACACAGUAAAUACCUGA